rnacentral:lncRNA from 1 species
UCCGGCUCCCCACAGCUGGGGUUUUGCUGUCUUCAACCCUCGGGCGGGGGACGUCCGGCAGCUCUGCAAACGCGCAGACACGCGAACCCCAUCGCCUCGCGCGCCCUUUGGCUCCGCUGGUGCGUGUCGGGGAUGCGGCCGCGCAGGCGCUCGCUCCCUGGCUUCCUGGCCGGGUAGCGGGCGUUCGGCUACCGGAGUCCAGCCUAAGGGCCCAGCCGAGGUCUCCCCGCGCGAGGCGGUUGCGCUAGGUGAGCGGGUACCGCGGCCGCGCCUCCCUUGUCAUUUACUCAGCGGUCAGAGGCAUCCUGCGUCUGGGAGUCCCAAGUGCCUUCGGCUGGGUGCCCCUGUCCGAUCCUCAAAAGGAAAGCACAAAUCCCGGGUGCGAGUCUAACCCAGGACCGAACUUUCCCGCGAACCUGAAGUUACCAUGGGGCGGGAGCCACCUUAGCGCCGCGUCCGCCCGCCCCUCGCACCGGCUAGGAUGCUGCGGAAGGCAGGGGCGCCGAGAGGCAAGGGUGAAAGACGCCGUCCAUACCCCCAAAGCCCGAACCUGCAUCUCCUCUGCGAGGCGCAGGGCGGGAGGACCGCUGCAGUUGGGAGCCGGCUCCGGACAGGCAAAGCGACCCGACAGGUAACCUUCCACAGGCCCACACAUGUGUUAUCAGCCAUACCUUAGGACAGAAGGAAUGAGUUUGCAGAAAGGAUGCUCUUCAGAACUCAUGAAGACAUAAGGUGCUUCAAAAGAGGAGACUUUCGGAACAUGAGCAGGGAAAUUGUCACUUGAUAGAUGACAAGCAUUGUGAGAAACAACAGUUUGCCUUUCUUCAUUCCCUUCCUGGUUAUCUUUCCUGUCACAUGAAGAAGAAAUGAAACACCAGAGAGAAUCAGGUUAUCAUCAUCUACACCAGCCACUGUCACUGGCCUUCAAAGUUCAACCUCCCUGGAACUCCAGAACUCCCCACUUUAUAAGAUGAAUGGCUAAUUGGAUCCUAGUACAUAAGGAAACACUGGCAAAAUAGCGGUAUAUAACAAAUGUUUCUUUUUAUGAUAGAUCUACAUCUGAAACAACGGUGAAAAAGCAUGCAUUAAAUUAAAAAGCAUAGUCUUCCAUUUGUAAGUAAUUUUGUUAUGUGCUGCUUAUGGGAGAUUGUUUAGUUAAAGCUAUAUUACUGCAAAAGAGAGGCAAACAGAGACAGCACAGCACAUUAGUAAAACACUAAAGCUUUUAAUUUCCUCAUUCAUUCAUUAAAGAAAUAUUUUCUUAGAGAUUAUGUUUGGCAAUAUGACACAUUUUUGUAGAAAAAUGCAAUGAGACAAUAAUAAAAGUUGUCUUAUAGAAACAACUUCUGCGAUUAAGAAACUUAUAAAAUUUAAGACACAAGGUAAGGUGCUAGUUACAUACUAUGAAGAUAAUGAUUAUUAACAUUUAUUGGGCUCUGUGCCAGGUACAAGAUAUUAAUACAAAUUAAUGCAUCUGUUCCUCAGAAUAGUCAUCUAAGGAAGGUAGUGGUUUUCUAGGUAAGAAGUGUGAAACCCAAGGCUAGUAAAUUGAGUAAAUUAUGAAGCUAUGAUUAAAAUUUAGGUGAUUUGUCUCCAUGCCUAUCCUAUGCUAUCUCACUGUGCUAUAAUUAAAUGUAUAAUUAAAAGAAUGCUUCUUGUUAUAAUGUGUAAUUAAAUACAAAUGAAAAGCAUUAAGUUAAUUAAGCUUCAUUUCAAGAUGAAAUUAGUCAUGAAAAGUUUUUUUUGGAAGUGAUCAGCAUAUAACUUCAAUAAGGUUGGGUUUGAGUAUAAAUGAAAAUGAAGGAUGGUAUUUAUAGGUUAAAGGCACAGAGGUGACAAACAAUGAGGAUGUUCAAAUAGACAUGAACACAAGCAGAGGGUAUAUAGAAGGAAGUAAUGGGAAGUGAGGUUCCCUCUCCCAACAUUUUAUUAUAAAAUUGUUUUAAUACUCAGAAAAAUGAAAGAAUUGUAUGUAAACAUAAAUAUCUCGCUACCUUAAUUCUGUCAGUAACAUUUUAGUAUAUGUGUUUUGUCACAUAUCUAUCUGUCCCUCUUUCUGUAAGCCAAUCCAUCUUAAUUAUAAUUCAUUUCAAAGUAAGUUGCAGACAUCAGUAUAUUUCACCCCUAAACACUUCAUCACAUGUAUCAGUGAGUUCAAUAGUUGUUUAGUUAUAUUUUUGGAAGUAAAAGUUAUAUACAAUGAAUAACCAAAUCUUAAAUAUAGCAUUCAAUGAGUUUGACAAUUUCAUAUACAUUUAUAAAAUAAACCUUCAUCAAAAUAAAGAACACUACCAUUCCCGAAAUUUAUCUUUGGUUCUUAUCAGUUAUUUUUUGUAAUUGCCACCUCAGAGGCAACCAAUGCUCUGAUGCUUUUCAACCAUAGAUUAGUUUGCCUUUUUUAAGACUUCAUAUAAAAAGAAUUUCUUUCGUGUAUUUUUUUCAUUUAGUAUUUUG